AAGAAGACCUUCUCAUAGUGAUUUUAUGCUGCUGUGCUGUAGCUUUCAUACUCAUUGUUGUCAUCACAUUAACCAAAUUGUUUUGGAAAGACAGAAUAAAGCCUUUCAUUUGGCCAGAAAUGCCGGACCACAAAAGUGCACUGGAGAAAUUAUGUAUAUCACCAACAAAGUACAUCCAAAUAAGCUUUAAUCCGGACUUCUUUGACAAUUAUCAUAUUAAUAAAGUAGACUAUAUGAAAGCACAAGUGAGGACGGAAGACAAUUUGCAUGUUAGCGUGGCAGAUACCCAACCAGAAAAGCAGCUUGA